GACGAACGCUGGCGGCGUGCUUAACACAUGCAAGUCGAACGGAAAGGCCCCUUUGGGGGUACUCGAGUGGCGAACGGGUGAGUAACACGUGAGUAACCUGCCCUUGACUUCGGGAUAACUUCAGGAAACUGGGGCUAAUACCGGAUAGGAAUCCUUGCUGCAUGGUGGGGGGUGGAAAGCUUCUGCGGUGUUGGAUGGACUCGCGGCUUAUCAGCUGGUUGGUGUGGUGGUGGCUUACCGACGCUUUGACGGGUAGCCGCACUGAGAGGGCGACCGGCCACACUGAGACCUAGGUACGGCCGAGACUCCGACGGGAGGCAGCUGUGGGGAAUAUUGCACAAUGGGCGGAGGCCGGGUGCAGCAGCGCCGCGUGCGGGAAGACGGCCUUCGGGUGGUAAACAGCUUUCAGCAGGGGCGAAGCUUGUGGCGACGGUACCUAAAGAAGAAGCACCGGCUAACUACGUG
rnacentral:rRNA from 1 species